rnacentral:tRNA from 1 species
GGUGGUGUCACUCAGUGGUAGAGUACUUGCUUCACAUGCAAGUGAUGCCUCACAUUAGAGUCUGGGUUCAAUCCUCAGUACCACAA